rnacentral:rRNA from 1 species
UACAUGGGGUGCAAACGUUGCUCGGAAUUAUUGGGCGUAAAGCGCACGUAGGCGGUUCGUUAAGUCGGAUGUGAAAGCCCUCGGCUCAACUGAGGAAGUGCACCCGAAACUGGCGAGCUUGAGUACGAAAGAGGAUCGCGGAAUUCCCGGUGUAGAGGUGAAAUUCGUAGAUAUCGGGAGGAACACCGGUGGCGAAGGCGGCGAUCGGGGUCGAUACUGACGCUGAGGUGCGAAAGCGUGGGGAGCAAA